rnacentral:rRNA from 1 species
GACGAACGCUGGCGGCGUGCCUAAUACAUGCAAGUAGAACGCUGAAGAGAGGAGCUUGCUCUUCUUGGAUGAGUUGCGAACGGGUGAGUAACGCGUAGGUAACCUGCCUGGUAGCGGGGGAUAACUAUUGGAAACGAUAGCUAAUACCGCAUGAAAUGGAUUAUCGCAUGAUAAUUCAUUGAAAGGUGCAAAUGCAUCACUACCAGAUGGACCUGCGUUGUAUUAGCUAGUUGGUGGGGUAACGGCUCACCAAGGCGACGAUACAUAGCCGACCUGAGAGGGUGAUCGGCCACACUGGGACUGAGACACGGCCCAGACUCCUACGGGAGGCAGCAGUAGGGAAUCUUCGGCAAUGGACGGAAGUCUGACCGAGCAACGCCGCGUGAGUGAAGAAGGUUUUCGGAUCGUAAAGCUCUGUUGUAAGAGAAGAACGAGUGUGAGAGUGGAAAGUUCACACUGUGACGGUAUCUUAC